AGCUCCAGGCCAGCAGUUCUGCACCUGCCUUGUUUCCAGCUGCACCCCCAGGGUUUGGCACCUAGGAGGCGUUCGUUCAUCAGCUACUUGUCAAGUUGAUGCCCCAGCUUCAAGACUUUCGGAGGUCAAAAGCCUCAGCACCAACAGAAGAGCCCCUGGAGCAGGGGAGGAAGGAAGCUUCCUUUGACCCGCUCUCUGCCCACCCUGCGGGUUGACCUUCACUAAGAAUGAACAUCAAGACAUCCAGAAACCAGAGGCCAGCCCCCAGGCCCAGGGAGCAUGCACACCGAGUCCCUGCCCUGAGCGUGUUUGACACGAAGAGUCACAGUUCUCAGCAGAACUGGCUUGCAGGAGUUCGAGGAAAAGCCACCUGGGCAGCUUCUCUCCAUCAUCCUUGGUCCUGGGCUGGAAAUCCCCUGGCCAGGCAGUGGACACCAUCCCCUUAGCCCACACAUCCACCAAGAGCUUCACUUUCUGUUUCCAUCCUUUCCAUUUAUUGAAGGGACAGAGCUGCAGAAACUGUCAGAGCUGGGAGAGGGAGGACUGGACACCUUUUCUCUGUUGGCUUCACUGUGGCAACUGAGACUAGGAGACGUUAAGCCACUGGCACAAGGGCACACAGCAGCAGCCAGCAGAGCAGGGAUUCGCCAGUUCUGUCUAACUCUGGAGCCUACUAUAGGCAUUUUUCCAGACAGCCUCCUUGCCAAGCCCAAGUCUGUUUUCUACUCUAAUCUGCUAACUCUUAAACUAGAUGCAUAUAAAUCUGGAAGGGUCCUGUUUAAGAAUCUCCAUAGACAGGAGCAGCAAACUCAAAUGAACGUAGGGGAUGCAGAAAAAUAUUUACAUCAGGUCUGCCAGGUGGUAGACAUGUGGGAGUGGUGGAGACUGUGGCAUGCAUUGGCAGAUUUCAAAACAUCACCACUGGGGUCAAGUAAAGCACUGUGCCACCAAGUCCAGCUCACUGCUGUGGUCUUAGAGGCUGCACUCUCCUUCCCUUGCAAACCAGAAGUCAAUAGCAGAGGGCCUGAGCAUUUCCACUUAUAACAGGACACUUCCAAAGCCCCCUACUGGGGUGCCAAGCCUGUGCUCAGCGUCCCACAGCUGGAGGCUCUUUCCCCCUAUGCUGCUUCCUUCGAAAGAAUUCAAGAUAAGCCUGGGCAAAAUAGUGACUCUGUCUCCCAAAAAAAAAAAAAAAAAAAAAAAAAAAG